rnacentral:rRNA from 1 species
GGAGGGGUGCGAGCGUUAAUCGGAAUUACUGGGCGUAAAGGGUACGUAGGCGGUUUUAUAAGUCAGAUGUGAAAUCCCCCGGGGCUUAACCUGGGGAACUGCAUUUGAAACUGUAUAACUAGAGUGAGUGAGAGGUUAGUGGAAUUCAAGGCGUAGCGGUGAAAUGCGUAGAGGUCUUGAGGAACAUCAGUGGCGAAGGCGGCUAACUGGCACUACACUGACGCUGAGGUACGAAAGCGUGGGGAGCGAACAGGAUUAGAUACCCUGGUAGUCCACGCCCUAAACGAUGAGGACUGGCUGUUGGCGCUAUAGACGCGUCGGUAGCGAAGCUAACGCGUUAAGUUCUCCGCCUGGGGAGUACGGCCGCAAAGGCUG